rnacentral:lncRNA from 1 species
CAUCAUAUUUGGUAAUUUCUUGUAUUUAUUUUUCAAGGGCUGUGAGCAAUUCAGACUAUCAUAAUAGAAGUAUUCAAUAAUUAGGAAGUGUUACAAGGAGGCCAGUUUUGCAAGCUCCAAUCAAAUGUCGACUAUGCGAUAAAUUUUUUUUGAUAUCCCAAGCCUCCUACUCCUCUUUGAAUCCAUGGGGAAAAGGAGCAUUUUAGAUUAUUAUUUAGCA